rnacentral:rRNA from 1 species
AUUGAACGCUGGCGGCAGGCCUAACACAUGCAAGUCGAACGAGUGGCGGACGGGUGAGUAAUGUCUGGGAAACUGCCUGAUGGAGGGGGAUAACUACUGGAAACGGUAGCUAAUACCGCAUACCCUCGGAUGUGCCCAGAUGGGAUUCGCGAGUAGGUGGGGUAAAGGCUCACCUAGGCGACGAUCCCUAGCUGGUCUGAGAGGAUGACCAGCCACAAGGGAACUGAGACACGGCCCAGACUCCUACGGGAGGCAGCAGUGGGGAAUAUUGCAAAAUGGGCGCAAGCCUGAUGCAGCAAUGCCGCGUGUAUGAAGAAGGCCUUCGGGUUGUAAAGUACUGUCAGCGGGGAGGCGUUACCCGCAUAAGAAGCACCGGCUAACUCCGUGCAAGCAGCCGCGGUAAUUC